rnacentral:rRNA from 1 species
UGGGAUAUCUUUAGUAAUUGCGAAUGAACAAGGAUAUGCUUAGCUUGACAAAUGGAGCUAUUGGCUUUGAAUUGUAUUGUGGAAAUGUAUUACCAACAGAGGUGCAGGUGCCAGCCUAUUGAAAUAAAGCGUCAAUGAGGGUGAGAAUCCUGUUUGUCAUGUGCAGCCCUUUGUGCACGGUGUAUAUUUGCUGAGUCACACUCCUUGGCAUUGGAAUGCAAAGUGGGUGGUAAGUUUCAUGUAAAGGUAAACAUGCAAUUGAGACUGAUAGCACACAAGUACCAUGAGGGAAAUAUGAAAAGGACUUUGAAAAGAAUUAAUGAGUUUGUAUUUGCUGAACACAAAGUAAACAGACUUGAUUUGCUUGGUGGGAGUGUUGCACUUGCUUGACAAGAGCUUUGGGCUGUGGGUGUAAUGAUUCUUUCUUUGCAUGCCAGUUUCUAUUUGUACAUCUGAUUACCUUUGCACAUGAAUGAUAAGUCUCCUGUGGGGGGUGGAUUGCAUGUGCAUGUAAUGAUUUGUGUUUUGAUAAAUGUGUCUGGUGUAUGUGUGUGUUCCUGUGCUUGGGGAUGCUUCCUUCCUUGGACUUACAAGCCCUGACACACACAUGCUGGCAAAAUGCUUCUGCUUGACCCGUCUUGAAACACGGACCAAGGAGUCUAACAGAUGUGCAAGUUUGAAGGUGGUAUACCUUUGUGUGCAAUGAAAGUGUCAGCUGGGAUAUGUGCACCAGCACCCAAUUAAUUAGCGGACAGAGGUUUGAGUUGGAGCAUAUCUAUUAGGACCCGAAAGAUGGUGAACUAUGCCUGAACAGAAUGAAUUCAGAGGAAACUCUGAUGGAGGUUCGUAUCGAUACUGACGUGCAAAUCGUUCGUCUAUUUGGGGAUAGGGGCAGACUCAACCAUCUAGUACUGGUUCCCUCCGAAGUUCCCUCAGGAUA